GAUGAACGCUGGCGGCGUGCCUAAUACAUGCAAGCCGAGCGAACGGACGAGAAGCUUGCUUCUCUGAUGUUAGCGGCGGACGGGUGAGUAACACGUGGAUAACCUACCUAUAAGACUGGGAUAACUUCGGGAAACCGGAGCUAAUACCGGAUAAUAUUUUGAACCGCAUGGUUCAAAAGUAAAAGACGGUCUUGCUGUCACUUAUAGAUGGAUCCGCGCUGCAUUAGCUAGUUGGUAAGGUAACGGCUUACCAAGGCAACGAUGCAUAGCCGACCUGAGAGGGUGAUCGGCCACACUGGAACUGAGACACGGUCCAGACUCCUACGGGAGGCAGCAGUAGGGAAUCUUCCGCAAUGGGCGAAAGCCUGACGGAGCAACGCCGCGUGAGUGAUGAAGGUCUUCGGAUCGUAAAACUCUGUUAUUAGGGAAGAACAGAUGUGUAAGUAACUGUGCACAUCUUGACGGUACCUAAUCAGAAAGCCACGGCUAACUACGUG
rnacentral:rRNA from 1 species